ACAAAAUUUAUUAGAAGAAUAGUGGUUUUGAAAAGAAGCUCUAGCAUCAUACCACCUUACAGAACGGUACAGCUGAAAUGUGUUGCCAAAAUGGCAUUUAUUCCAAAUUUCAAUAAUAACAUAACCAGUAAAAUAUUUUUUUUUUACACAUGCACAAAGACGGAUCUAAUCAGCCCGAAGUUCAAUGCAAAAUAAAAAAACAAAUAACAGACCACAGAUUUUUUUAUAGAUUUUUUUGUUAUCACAUUAGGAGACUUUUUAUUAUUUCAUUAGCCCAUUUACUAAAAUCUGAUUUUGCAUUAAAAAAAAAUGGGGAAAACAAAGUGUAUUCAAUCAACCAAUCAUUCAAUCAACCAAUCAAUCAAACACAAUUAAUGUGAGUUGUUGAUGUUCUGAGAAGAUUACAGCGCUAACGCUGACGUUUGAUUGAUUGGCAGGUGAGCCAGAAGGCAGUACUCACGCUGUUGUGUUCAGAGGUGUUGUGUUUGUAAGAGAGGGAUAGAAGGUUACACUUCGAAUGAGGUGGCAGUCAAAGUGCCAUGUCAGCUUAUAAGGUACAGUAGCUUGUCAUAAGCAUCUAGGACCUGCUAUGUCAUCCUUAUGACAGUGUUAUGUAGCCUUACGGCAGUGUUAAGUAGCCACUACGUGGUCCCCAGUAUAUAAGCCACAGACUGAGGCACAGUGCGUAGAGAGGGCAGUUUACGUGCUUUGAGGACCCUCUCCACCUGAGCUGAGAAGUAGAUAGACAUUCAUUAGAUUUGGGAACUUAAUCUACAUUUUAUAAAAUUUAAUUACAUUUGUUUUUUAAGAGGGACCAAGGGAGAAAACAAAAGAAGACAAAAUUAAAGUAACUUUUCAGGACACUUGACAUUUUCUUUUUACAGUGAAUAAUAAUACAAAAGUAAUAUAAAAAAUAUGAAAUAAUCAUAAUAACUGAAAUAGCUAUAGAUCACUGCUAGGUCUCAGAAUCUAGAGAAAGUACCUGAAUAGAGUGAGAGCAGUGUUAUCUUAAUUCCCUGAGGAUGUCUGGGUGACGUAGUGUCUGGGCUGAGGGUGUCUGGGUGACGUAGUGUCUGGGCUGAGGGUGUCUGGGUAACGUAGUGUCUGGGCUGAGGAUGUCUGGGUGACGUAGUGUCUGGGCUGAGGAUGUCUGGGUAACGUAGUGUCUGGGCUGAGGGUGUCUGGGUAAUGUAGUGUCUGGGCUGAGGGUGUCUGGGUGACGUAGUGUCUGGGCUGAGGGUGUCUGGGUAACGUAGUGUCUGGGCUGAGGAUGUCUGGGUGACGUAGUGUCUGGGCUGAGGGUGUCUGGGUAACGUAGUGUCUGGGCUGAGGGUGUCUGGGUAACGUGAUGUCUGGGCGACGUAGUGUCUGGGCUGAGGGUGUCUGGGUAACGUAGUGUCUGGGCGACGUAGUGUCUGGGCGACGUAGUGUCUGGGCUGAGGAUGUCUGGGUAACGUAGUGUCUGGGCUGAGGGUGUCUGGGUAACGUAGUGUCUGGGCUGAGGGUGUCUGGGUAACGUAGUGUCUGGGCUGAGGGUGUCUGGGCUGAGGGUGUCUGGGUAACGUAAUGUCUGGGCUGAGGGUGUCUGGGUAACGUAAUGUCUGGGCUGAGGGUGUCUUGGUGAUGUAGUGUCUGGGCUGAGGGUGUCUGGGUAACGUAGUGUCUGGGCUGAGGGUGUCUGGGACAUGUAGUGUCUUGUCCGUGAGGCAGAGAGUGGGUGAUAUAAUUCUUUCUAUAGAAAGCAUUAAAGGGUGCAUUCAGAACUGCAACGCUUCGGCCUUGCACUAUUAAACCAGUGUCAGUGUUGCAAAAACGUUAAAAAGAGCACUGAUAGUUCUGUGUUGCAAACGCAGCUCAGGCUACAGUAUGGUUGGAGGGCACAGGCUUCACAGGCCCGAUAAUAGGAAACUAAAAGCAUUUCACACCGUCAAGCAGCAACACAUACAGGCACUCAAACACUCACCAUUUAUUCUUUUUUUUUUUACUUUAAAGAAGGAAAAAGUUAUUCUGAAAAGAGCUUUAGCAAAAAAACACUACGAGAGCGGUUGCAGCAACAAAAACAAACCUUAAGUGCACACCUCUUUCUGAGAAAAGGAUGGCUUCCUUCAAGGGCAAAUAUUUCAUAUUUAAACAUUGGAAUCUGUCUUGCGUACAUUCCACUUUCGUAAACAACUGCCCGCUCCAGCAACAAUCUGUUACAAUGUAUGUACACUGGCAUGCAAAAAAUAUCCAACCAAUCUGAAUCCUUGUGUUGAUCCAAUUGGACUCUGAUUGGACACUGAAGGAGGUAUAUCAAGUGACAUCCCUGAAUGCAUGUCCUUCCUUCCUUCCUUCCUUCCUUCCUUCCUUCCUUCCUUCCUUCCUUCCUUCCUUCCUUCCUUCCUUCCUUCCUUCCUUCCUU
rnacentral:lncRNA from 1 species